rnacentral:rRNA from 1 species
UUCCUCUCGGUGAACCUGCGGAGGGAGCAUUACCGAGUUUUCAACUCCCAAACCCCUGUGAACAUACCUUACUGUUGCCUCGGCGGAUCAGCCCGCUCCCGGUAAAACGGGACGGCCCGCCAGAGGACCCCUAAACUCUGUUUCUAUAUGUAACUUCUGAGUAAAACCAUAAAUAAAUCAAAACUUUCAACAACGGAUCUCUUGGUUCUGGCAUCGAUGAAGAACGCAGCAAAAUGCGAUAAGUAAUGUGAAUUGCAGAAUUCAGUGAAUCAUCGAAUCUUUGAACGCACAUUGCGCCCGCCAGUAUUCUGGCGGGCAUGCCUGUUCGAGCGUCAUUUCAACCCUCAAGCCCUCGGGUUUGGUGUUGGGGAUCGGCGAGCCUUUCUGGCAAGCCGGCCCCGAAAUCUAGUGGCGGUCUCGCUGCAGCCUCCAUUGCGUAGUAGUAAAACCCUCGCAACUGAACGCGGCGCGGCCAAGCCGUUAAACCCCCAACUUCUGAAUGUGACCUCGGAUCAGGUAGAAUACCCCGGAG